AACACAAGGAAUGUUAGUAACUUCUAAAAAAUGAUUGCAUUUUGCAGCACUUUCAGUGUAAAAUGUCAUGUGAGUCGUCCUAAAAGCAGCUUUAUGAAUGCACAAAUCAUUUAUGUGUAUAGUUUUACCUGACACAGAUGAAUGUGAAUCUGUAUAAUUACACUUGUUUUUGUAUAAAUCCAGGCAAAAGUGUUUUUAAAAUGAAGCUUUCUCAGUAUUGACUUCCUGUUCAUGGGACUGUUGUAUAAAAGCAAUAUCACACAAUAAUCGUAUACUUUCAGGAGCUCUCGCACAUGCUGAACUGCUGCCAUGAAGAUGAAUGGGAACGCUAACGGAUCAUUCUCUCAGUUUCGUAUGACUGGGAUUGAUAAUCAGACACAGCAGCCAAGUACCUGCUACAUUUGGAAUCGAAACCCGCACCCUGCCACCUCCUGACCGCAUUACUCAACCAGAGCCAAACAAAUAAAUCAGAAUAAUGAUAAUAGUCAAAAUUCAAAUCAGCCCGAGGAAACGGUCCGUGAAAGCAGCGGUGGUGACGUACAUUUGGCUGCGUUGUGUGUGAUUUCCACGACAGUGUUUAAAUAGGUGCGGUCCCACUCCUCCUCGCAGAGCUCAGCGUCUGGAUUACUUCAUAAUCCACACCAUAUUAUGGGCCUGGCACUAAUUGAAAGAUAAAUGAGUUUAUUUGGGUUAAAUCCAUCACCGUGACACGAACCCAGAGGAGAGCGAGGGGGAGAAGAGAUGAGAGCGCAAGAGGAAAGCUGAAGACGUUUGACUCUCGCCUUUGUAUCAGCCAAUUGGAUCUGAAGAAACAUCCGUGGUGAAACACAGAUGAAGGAUCGCAGAUUUCUAUACCACAAAAGUGUUCUUGGAGCUUUGUAUGAAUACAGUUGAAUCACCAAAGUCACAGGUAAUGUUUUGACUAUUUUUGGUUCCUUUUCUGCACUAAUGUCUUCAGACAGUCUAAAAUAUCAUAAUUUGUAUUCUGAAGAUGAACGAAGGUCUCAGGAUUGGAACAACAUGAGGGUGAGUAAUAUAUCAUAGAAUUUGGAUGAACUAACCUUUUAAGUAUGGCCUGCAUAUGAACCAUUACUUUAAUUGGUGGAGUAUUUUAUCAUUCAUUCACUUUCCUUCAGCUUAGUCCCUUUAUUCAUCAAGGGUCACCACAGCGUAAUGAAUCGCCAACUUUUUCAGCAUAUGUUUUAUGCAACGGAUGCCCUUACAGCUGCAACCCAGUGCUGGAAAACACACUCACACACUACGGUCAGUUUUGUUUAUUCAGUUCACCUACAGUGCAUGUCUGGGAAACCAGAGAAAACCCAUACCAACAUAGGUGGAACAUGCAAACUUCUCACAGAAAUUUCAACUAACCCAUCUGGGACUCAAACCAGCGAACUUCUCACUGUGAGACGACAGUCCUAACCACUGUGCCAUUCUAUUUUAUCAAUAAAACAAGUUUGCCAAAUGAA